AAUAAAUAAAAACACAGAACCGGUUCUAAAUAUGACAUUUAGAGAGAUGGUUAGAACCCGUUACGUGUCUCUUUGAUAUUGGAUAAUGCAUUUUUUGUCUCUCUCUUCUUUCUCGAGGUUUCCAGCGUGACAACAAUAGACAAAUCCGUCGUUGAUCGGAAGGUGAAAGCUCCGUCACCGUCUCUUCUCCUUCAUCUCGUUCUCAUGACGCCACCGAGACCACCGUCAGGGAGACAAAGGCCGCUGCGUUAUUAAUCAGAUUCAGAGAGAACAGAAGGUAGCGGCAGUUGGGACACGCUUGAAUGAAACAAACUCAAUUCGCAGCACACAGCUUCAGGUUCAAGUUCAACAUCUUUCGCUAAUUUGAGUUGCUUGCUCGAAUCCGAGAGGGUCAUCGUUGAGAUUCUCUUGGUUUUGAAGAUCAUUCUUACUCUUUGAUGCUUUUACUACACAGAAGCUCAUAGGAAAUAUGGUGGAAUUGGAACUCUUCUUGUGAUCAAGGUCUCUCCUGAAUCAGCAAGCCAAUUUGGAGAACUGGUGGCAGAUCCAGUUACUAAUGAGCUGCUUCAUUACACCGAGAAACCCGAAACUUUUGUCAGUGACCGUAUUAACUGCUGUGUUUAUGUAUUUACACCUGACAUUUUUACUGCCAUAAGACUAAGAGAUGUUUCCUCUCAAAGGAAAGACACAGCAAUUCUGAGACGUGUUUCCAGCUUUGAAGCUCUUCAACUGGCAACAAGGCUUGUCUGUCUGUCUCUUGUCUGCGUGUCUCUUCAUACAUAACUGAAUAGCCUUUUGAACUGAAUCAUCUUCUUAUAUGAUAUGUUUUCACCCUUUAGAAAAAAAAAAAAAAUUAAGAACCUCUAAGAGGUUCUCUCAUUGGACCAUGAGAAAAUUAAUUACACUAACAAAGGUUCUAAACUUUUCAAAUCACACAAUUAAUUAUUAAAUUAUUCAUUAGAGCCCAUAAUAGGCUCUAACCAUUGGAGUUGCUCUUAGGGCCUGAGGCAUAAGAUGCCACUUUAGUCACAUGAAUAUGAACGAUCAACAUAUUCUUGUGGGUGAGGCAGUGGCAGACUUAAUUAAACGUAAUUGAUUCUGAGAUUUAUGGUUUAGAUUUUUAUAUCUGGUUUAGAGUUUAUGGAGUAUAAAACUAUACAGAUGGUAAUUUGUUUAUAGUAACUCUUUCGCAAAUGCCUAUACUAAAUGUUUAGUUUAUGUAUCAAUCAUGGAUCAUGAUGUGAGGCUCCAAUCCCGACAGAGUUAAUGACAUUGUAAUAAAUCGGGAAGUUGUAAUCAACUUUGUUGCUAAUGCACCCACUGCUGAACAACUCGAUGCCGUCACGAUUUGAUUGAUACCUGCUCAUUGACAUGCCAAAGUUAUUGGCACAUCAUGCUAGACUUGAGAAAGGCCCCAGUAAGAGCCAAUAUCUUUGUAAAAUAAAUUCAGUUCAAUAUAAAAUACUUCUCGAAUCUUUGUUUACUUCGAGCAA